ACAACUUUCAGCGAUGGAUAUCUCGGCUCAAGCAUCGAUGAAGGGUGCAGCGAAGUGCGAUAAGCAUUGUGAAUUGCAGGAUUCCGUGAACCAACAGGUCCUUGAACGUGCAUUACGCUUGUGGAGUACUUUCAUAAGCAUACCUGCUUCAGUGCUGAUG
rnacentral:rRNA from 1 species